ACAUGUGCAUUUCUCCAUUCACGGUGUAGGUAAGAAUAUCCGUAAAGCACAUUGGAGACGUAGUACGAGCUGUGAGUACACAUAUAUACCGACACACUUUCAAGCCAAGCUUCACUGAAUCUAAGUGAUAGGUAAAGAACUUCAUCUCCAAAUUUCAAAUGGCCCAUGGCAAUUCUUCAUCCAAAGAACAAUGAAAACUCAUUUAUUACACCUAUAACAGCAUAUUACCUUUAUAUCAUUCUGUAUAGCUUGAAUUACGUUUAAUAAGUCGAAAAAUACAAAAUUCGAAAUCA